UAGCUAAUCAGCAGAGUGAACAGUGAGGGUCAUACCCCUGGCUUAAUCCCCCCAUAUAGAGAAGGCAUCAGCCAAACUAUACAAGCGCACUCAUGUGCUGCAGUCAGGAAUAUCAUACAAAAGCUCCUCAGACAGGCGGAUCUAAACUCAUGGCAGAACCGAAGGGUAAUACCUGGAUUGGAACCCACUGGAUUGGUGUCAGAAGGCUUCUGGGGUGGUCUGGAUCUCACCAGGUUGCCCUCACUGCCAGCCCUCAUCAACCUUUCCCCGACGACCAGCAUGUGUGAGCGAUUCCCUGGAGGUUCCUUUCGGGACUGCUUGGAGGGUUUGACCAGACGUGAAGGUUUGGACAUCUCUCCAAGUUCUCCUGGAGCACACUGAGUGAAACCAGUUGAGGAGUCCUUGGAGAGAUCCAUCUGCUCAGCUUGCGGCACCACAGUGAGGACACAACUGAACACUUGAAGAACUGAAUCACUGAAAGAGCUGAGGUUGUUAAACUC